rnacentral:rRNA from 1 species
UACAGAGGUGGCAAGCGUUGUUCGGAAUUACUGGGCGUAAAGGGCGCGUAGGCGGCCUUCUAAGUCAGACGUGAAAUCCCCCGGCUUAACCUGGGAACUGCGUCUGAUACUGGGAGGCUUGAGUAUGGGAGAGGGAUGUAGAAUUCCAGGUGUAGCGGUGAAAUGCGUAGAUAUCUGGAGGAACACCGGUGGCGAAGGCGGCAUCCUGGACCAACACUGACACUGAGGAGCGAAAGCCAGGGGAGCAAACGGG